UUGGCUUGGAGGCUAAAGAUGGAGGUUUCACCAUGGUGUUACAUCUGCGCAGGUCAUGCUGCCUUUGGCUAGUCCUACACUUCUAUUGAGAGAGAGGGAGAGAGAUCUUGCCACGUAUACCGCCUCAUAUCAAAAUGUCUUAGCGAGUUAUCUAACUUCCCUUGAAAAUUGAACGAUUUAUGCCCAUGUGCUCACCUUUUAUAAAUAUAAGGUUUAGAUGGAUUUGGAGACGGAAAACAGGAUAGCUGCAAUUCUUAUGAAAGAGGCAGCAGAAUUGCGGCGACAAGCUGAGGAGGGUGGUGUGCAUGUUUAUCUUAGGCAGCCCAAUGUUAGGGGUCAGCCGAAUUCACGUUUUCCUCACAGCAACUGUUCUUGGUGUACAACAGGGUUAGUUCUGUAGUUGUUUAAGUAUAAAAAAAAUUAUAGUGUGAUUCGAUACUUAUGAAGAGUGUAUGUGUAAUUUAACAUUACUAUAUCUAUAUAGUUCUGAUGCGCACCAGUUUGGUGCCCCCUUCAGCCAA